rnacentral:rRNA from 1 species
AGCGAACGCUGGCGGCAGGCUUAACACAUGCAAGUCGAGCGCCCCGCAAGGGGAGCGGCCGACGGGAGAGUAACACGUGGGAACAUACCUUUUGGUUCGGAACAACUGAGGGAAACUUCAGCUAAUACCGGAUAAGCCCUUACGGGGAAAGAUUUAUCGCCGAAAGAUUGGCCCGCGUCUGAUUAGCUAGUUGGUGAGGUAACGGCUCACCAAGGCGACGAUCAGUAGCUGGUCUGAGAGGAUGACCAGCCUCACUGGGACUGAGACACGGCCCAGACUCCUACGGGAGGCAGCAGUGGGGAAUAUUGGACAAUGGGGGCAACCCUGAUCCAGCCAUGCCGCGUGAGUGAUGAAGGCCUUAGGGUUGUAAAGCUCUUUUGCCCGGGAAGAUAAUGACGGUACCGGGAGAAUAAGCCCCGGCUAACUUCGUG